UAGAAGAACUUUCUCUGGUUUCUCCUA
rnacentral:piRNA from 1 species